rnacentral:rRNA from 1 species
UAUAAUAUGGUCUUUUAAAAAAAAUUAUGCUGUUAUCCCUAAGGUAAUUAAUUUUAAUAAUUUAUAUUUAAGAUAAAUAACUCAUUAAUUAUUGUUUUAUUAUUAAAAAAAUUUUUUAAAUUUUUUAAUUACCCCAAUUAAAUUUAUUUAUACAUUUAAUUAAAAAUUUAUUAAUUUAUAAGUAAAUAAAAUUCUAUAGGGUCUUGUCGUCUUUUUUAUUUAUUUAAGUUUUUUUACUUAAAUAAUAAUUUAAAUUAUAUUUAAUUUAUAAAGUUUAUAUUUCAUUAAAUCUUUCAUUCUAGUUUUUAAUUAAAAAACAAAUUAUUAUGCUACCUUAGUACAAUUAUUUAUUUUGCAGCCAUA